ACAGUGUCUGGUGGGUAGUUUGACUGGGGCGGUCUCCUCCUAAAGAGUAACGGAGGAGCACGAAGGUUGGCUAAUCCUGGUCGGACAUCAGGAGGUUAGUGCAAUGGCAUAAGCCAGCUUGACUGCGAGCGUGACGGCGCGAGCAGGUGCGAAAGCAGGUCAUAGUGAUCCGGUGGUUCUGAAUGGAAGGGCCAUCGCUCAACGGAUAAAAGGUACUCCGGGGAUAACAGGCUGAUACCGCCCAAGAGUUCAUAUCGACGGCGGUGUUUGGCACCUCGAUGUCGGCUCAUCACAUCCUGGGGCUGAAGUAGGUCCCAAGGGUAUGGCUGUUCGCCAUUUAAAGUGGUACGCGAGCUGGGUUUAGAACGUCGUGAGACAGUUCGGUCCCUAUCUGCCGUGGGCGCUGGAGAACUGAGGGGGGCUGCUCCUAGUACGAGAGGACCGGAGUGGACGCAUCACUGGUGUUCGGGUUGUCAUGCCAAUGGC
rnacentral:rRNA from 1 species